rnacentral:tRNA from 1 species
UUAAUUGAAGCCAAAAUAGAGGCCUAUUAUUGUUAAUAAUAAAAAUGAAGUUAAAUUCCAAUUAAG